GACGAACGCUGGCGGCGUGCUUAACACAUGCAAGUCGAACGAUGAAGCCUUCGGGUGGAUUAGUGGCGAACGGGUGAGUAACACGUGGGUAAUCUGCCCUGCACUCUGGGAUAAGCCUUGGAAACGGGGUCUAAUACCGGAUAUCACAACUCUUCGCAUGGGGGGUUGUUGAAAGUUUUGGCGGUGCAGGAUGAACCCGCGGCCUAUCAGCUUGUUGGUGGGGUAGUGGCCUACCAAGGCGACGACGGGUAGCCGGCCUGAGAGGGUGACCGGCCACACUGGGACUGAGACACGGCCCAGACUCCUACGGGAGGCAGCAGUGGGGAAUAUUGCACAAUGGGCGAAAGCCUGAUGCAGCGACGCCGCGUGA
rnacentral:rRNA from 1 species